UACAGAGGGGGCUAGCGUUGUUCGGAAUUACUGGGCGUAAAGCGCGCGUAGGCGGCUUUUUAAGUCAGGUGUGAAAUCCCAAAGCUUAACUUUGGAACUGCACUUGAAACUGGAAGGCUUGAGAUUGGUAGAGGAUAGUGGAAUUCCGAGUGUAGAAGUGAAAUUCGUAGAUAUUCGGAGGAACACCAGUGGCGAAGGCGGCUAUCUGGACCAAUACUGGCGCUAAGGUGCGAAAGCGUGGGGAGCAAACAGG
rnacentral:rRNA from 1 species